rnacentral:rRNA from 1 species
UGCCUGCAGCUCAAGUGGUGACCGUUAUUAUUGGGCCUAAAACGUUCGUAGCCGGUUUAGUAAAUGCCUGGGUAAAUCGUGUAGCUUAACUAUACGAAUUCCGGGUAGACUGCUAAACUUGAGACCGGGAGAAGCUAGAGGUACUCCUGGGGUAGAGGUAAAAUUCUGUAAUCCUAGGGGGACCACCAGUGGCGAAGGCGUCUAGCUAGAACGGGUCUGACGGUGAGGGACGAAGCCCUGGGGCGCAAACCGGAUUAGAUACCCGGGUAGUCCAGGGUGUAAACGCUGCUCGCUUGAUGUUAGUUGGGCUCCGUGCCCAAUUAGUGUCGGAGAGAAGUUGUUAAGCAAGCUGCCUGGGAAGUACGAUCGCAAGAUUGAAACUUAAAGGAAUUGGCGGGGGAGCACAGCAACGGGUGGAGCGUGCGGUUU